CCUACGGGAGGCAGCAGUGAGGAAUAUUGGUCAAUGGGCGCGAGCCUGAACCAGUCAAGUAGCGUGAAGGAUGACUGCCCUACGGGUUGUAAACUUCUUUUAUAAAGGAAUAAAGUGAGGCACGUGUGCCUUUUUGUAUGUACUUUAUGAAUAAGGAUCGGCUAACUCCGUGCCAGCAGCCGCGGUAAUACGGAGGAUCCGAGCGUUAUCCGGAUUUAUUGGGUUUAAAGGGAGCGUAGAUGGGUUGUUAAGUCAGUUGUGAAAGUUUGCGGCUCAACCGUAAAAUUGCAAUUGAUACUGGCAGCCUUGAGUACAGUUGAGGUAGGCGGAAUUCGUGGUGUAGCGGUGAAAUGCUUAGAUAUCACGAAGAACUCCGAUUGCGAAGGCAGCUUACUAAACUGCCACUGACAUUGAUGCUCGAAAGCGUGGGUAUCGAACAGGAUUAGAUACCCUUGUAGUC
rnacentral:rRNA from 1 species